rnacentral:rRNA from 1 species
CUUGUUGCCUCGGCGGAUCAGCCCGCUCCCGGUAAAACGGGACGGCCCGCCAGAGGACCCCUAAACUCUGUUUCUAUAUGUAACUUCUGAGUAAAACCAUAAAUAAAUCAAAACUUUCAACAACGGAUCUCUUGGUUCUGGCAUCGAUGAAGAACGCAGCAAAAUGCGAUAAGUAAUGUGAAUUGCAGAAUUCAGUGAAUCAUCGAAUCUUUGAACGCACAUUGCGCCCGCCAGUAUUCUGGCGGGCAUGCCUGUUCGAGCGUCAUUUCAACCCUCAAGCACAGCUUGGUGUUGGGACUCGCGUUAAUUCGCGUUCCUCAAAUUGAUUGGCGGUCACGUCGAGCUUCCAUAGCGUAGUAGUAAAACCCUCGUUACUGGUAAUCGUCGCGGCCACGCCGUUAAACCCCAACUUCUGAAUGUUGACCUCGGAUCAGGUAGGAAUACCCGCUGAAC